UGGUUGUGACAUAGCCUCCACGACAG
rnacentral:piRNA from 1 species